GGGGAAUCUGUUUAUUAGAAUAUAAAAUAAAACGUGCAAACACAAGAGAAGUAGAAGGUAUGGGUGACAGGUAGAGUGAGAGCUGAAGUCAGGACUGGGGAGCUGGAGAAGGAAAUGAGGCCUGAAGAAACUUUAGUGGCUGAAGCCAGCAAAUCUUGUGUAGGUAGGAUUUCCACGAACUGUCCUGAAAUUUCCAAGACAAGGAGACAUCUAUCGAGUAGAAGACAAAAAGGAAUGUUGACCAGGGAGGCCUGGCAGUGGAUGUGGUCUAGGAGGAAGCUUGGAAUUUUCUUACUCUGGAUCGUGGAACCACAAAGUCAGCCUGGAGUUGCCUAGAUCUGGACACCUAGGCUCCUGCCAGAGCUAGUUCAUCAUUCCCAGUCACUCAUUAGUGGGAUUCUCCUCUCCCUGGGGCAUUAUGAGGCAGGUUCCAUCUCUAGUCCUGUGUGCUUGUUUUAGGCAGGAAGAACAUGACUC